rnacentral:lncRNA from 1 species
CUUAAACUAGAAGAAAAUGUUUAGUGAAAAAAACUAUUAUUUUACAAUUUUGCAAAUCUCUUAAUGUCUGUUUUUACAGAAGAGGGAUUCUCAUGUCUAUUUCUGCAUUGAACUUGUUGCAAUGUGCUGUUUUUGGUGAAGAACAUGAAAAUAAUGUUGCCUUAUUCAGAUAGGUAGUUGGAAAAAAGAAAAAAAUUAAUAUUUUUAAUAGCUUUAAAAUAAAAUUUUAAAAUAAAAAAAUAAUUUUUAAUAGCUUUUCAGAUAAUUUGGACGGUCUUUAACAGUUGUUAGAUGGCCUUCCAUCACUAUAACAAAAUACCUGAGAAAAUCAGCUUAAAUGAGGAAAGAUUUGUUUGGGCUCAUAAUUAAGGGGUUUCAGUCCACAGUCACUUGACUAUUGUUUUUGGGCUAUGGUGAGGCAGAACAUCAUGGCCAGGAGUGUGUGGCAGAGCAAAGCUGCUGCACAUCUCCUGCUUGGGAAGGAGAGAGAGAAAGGGGAUGGGAGUGCAGCGCACGUACAGAAAGAAGGAAAGGGGCUGGGGAUAAGAGGUAAAGUUCCCAAGGGCAUACUCCCAAGAACCCACAUCCUACAACAAGGUCUUACCUCCUACAGUUUCCAUUAAUCUAUCCAGCUAUGAAUCCUUUAACAGACUAAUCCAUUGCUGAGGUUAGUGCCCUCAUGAUACAAUGAACAUUGUUGUAGUGGGGACCUACCUUUCAGCACAUGAGCCUUGGAAUAUUUCAGAUCCCAACUACUGUAGUCUCCCUUUAUCUGUGGGGGAUACAUUCAAAGACCCCCAGUGGAUGUCUGAAACUGCAAAUAGUACUGAACUCUAUUACAUUGUUUUUUUUUCCCUAUACAUACAUACCCACAAUAAAGUUUAAUUUAUAAUUAGGAACAGGAAGAGACAAACAACAAUAAAAUAGAACAAUGACAACAAUAUACUGUCAUAUAAGUUAUGUGAAUAUUGUCUGUCUCUCAGAUUAUCUUACUGACCUGUACGCACCCUUCUUUUUGUGAUGAGGUGAGACAAUGCACAGCCUGCACGAUGAGAUGAAGUAGUGAAUGGCAGAGGCGUUGUGUUAUAGGCUGUUAGGUAAACUUUACUUGAACACAGGCGUUGUGAUACCAUUGAUGUGAUAACCCACAUGGCUAGUAAGUGACUAAGAGAGGACAGUGGGUAGAGUAAGGAGACUCUAGACACAGACAUGAUUCAUGUCCAGAAUGGGACAGAAGGGGAGAUCAAGAUUUCAUCACAUUACACAGAAUGAUGCACAAUUUAAAACUCAUGAAUUGUUUAUGUCUGGAAUUUUUCAUGUAAUAUUUCCAGACCAUGGUUUAGUGCUAGUAACUGCAGAAAAUGAAACUUCUGAUAAGGGUGGGAGAUAGCUACUACGUGAUAGUUACUUAAAAGAUGGAUACAAGGUGGGAUCUGAAACCAUACCAAAAAGCUUUUUGUCCACUGACCCAUUUAAAUCCCUUGUCCCUCUUGCCCUUUGAAUGGAUAUUUUGC